GACGAACGCUGGCGGCGUGCUUAACACAUGCAAGUCGAACGGUGAAGCGCCUUCCUUUUUGGUGGGUGUGGAUGAGUGGCGAACGGGUGAGUAACACGUGAGUAACCUGCCCCCUUCUUCUGGAUAACCGCAUGAAAGUGUGGCUAAUACGGGAUAUUCUGGGUCUGUCGCAUGAUGGGUCUGGGAAAGAUAUUGUUUCGGUGGGGGAUGGGCUCGCGGUCUAUCAGCUUGUUGGUGGGGUGAUGGCCUACCAAGGUGGUGACGGGUAGCCGGCCUGAGAGGGUGGACGGUCACACUGGGACUGAGACACGGCCCAGACUCCUACGGGAGGCAGCAGUGGGGAAUAUUGCACAAUGGGCGCAAGCCUGAUGCAGCGACGCCGCGUGAGGGAUGGAGGCCUUCGGGUUGUGAACCUCUUUCGCCAGUGAAGCAGGCCUGCCUCGUUUGUGGGUGGGUUGACGGUAGCUGGAUAAGAAGCGCCGGCUAACUACGUG
rnacentral:rRNA from 1 species